UUGCCUUCGAAGCUUCUCGAGCUCCUUUUCUCUAGUGAAGGUAGAAAGCCUGCUGUAGAAGAGACUGAUAAAGCUGUUCUUGUCAACGCGCCAAGAUGAGGACUCUAGCCAUACUGAUGUUGAUCUGUAUGGCCAAGAUGGCUUUGGCUGAGCCGGAACCUGACCAGAAUGUGACCUUUUGCGGACAUUGCCAAUGCCGUGGGAACAAUAUUAUUGGAUGCAGGAAUGUUGCAGCUGUAUUUGUUGACGGCGUUGUCCUGCCCAGUAUUAAUCCUGGUAUAUUUGACCACUUGUACCUCUUA